CUAGAGAGGGCACAUGUUCCUAAUUGGCCUAGAGCAUAGCGGCUCAUUAUCCUUCCACCGCUGGUGGUGGGCGGUACUCGCUGCUCUGUGAAGCCAGCCUCACGCAAUGUCCGCCACUUUAGGUGUUGGGAUGCAAAGGCUUUCGCAAAGGCACCUGAAACCCACUACACAACUUGGUAUGGGUGGUCCACAGUUUGUAGCACUAGACCCAGGCACAUGCACCAAAAUUAACAUCCACACUACCUUAUUGCCCCCGCUCGGGUUACAAGCAAUCGCUACUUGCUCAGCGAGUGAGGGGGUUCAGGACUGCCUAUUUAAGGUGUUGUUGUACUCUAUGCGCCGGCGGUGUGGUAUUUACCAACAACAAAUAGUGUCAUGCAUGAGAGUUGCUAGUUGGCAAAGUCUGUUGUCGAGCUAGCUGGGGGCUAUGCCAAAAGCACAUUAGGAUAGAAUAGUCCUAUUCUAUUUUUUGUUUUUUGGGCCAUUAUGGACUUUAUGUUGAUGUUGUACUAAUUUUCCAUGUGUUUCCUCUUGCCUAUGAAGUGGAAAGUGGGUGCGUUAGAGAAGAAAGAAAGAGUGGCUAGCAUUGAUUUUACAUCAUCCCCUUGAGAACAACAAUCAACAGCAGAAGCAACAAUAUUUCAUACAUAUACAACACUUACAAUCCAUAUAAACAACUUUCCUUCAAAAAAUAACAUAAACCACAUGAUUUAUAUACUGUGUCGGUCAUCUCCACAAAGGGCAAGGAAACACUCCUAGGUUUGUAGUAUAGAACUAAGAGUGUCUACUCUCACGAUGGUUUCCCAACAUAUGCAAACUAGACACUAAUCACAUAAAGUAAAUACAUAUGUGGUAACACAAGCUUAUAGCAUGUAUUUCAACCUAUAGAUUGUUGAUUAUUAUGGUAGAUUAUAUAAUAUAGGGGUUUCUGGAGAAAUACGUAAAAAACAAGAGAAUUAAAAUUUCCUUUUCAGAUUUGGCUAACUGGUAAAAGGAGUUGGAGUAUCUGAGUUUCCAAAUUUGGGACGUAGAUGUAUAGAUGGAAUAUAAAUACGUUAGAAAAAAAUUCUACAACGUAAGGUUUAACACAAGUAGGGCUAAAAAAAUAAAUGAGGCUUUGGUGGCAUGGUCAUAAAACUAGAGACAAGAAACACAAAGAAACCAAGGUAAUUAGUAUGAGAGUUUUCCAAAUUUGGUGUCAUGAUGUAGAAAAAAUAAAUAUAUGACAAACAUGUUUUUUGCAAGGCAUGGUAAAAUAAAUGGGAGUGAGAAAUAAAUUUAAUCCUAGAUUUAGAAGGAAUAAAUAUAUUACUAAAUACGUUUCACAAUGCCAAGUUAAGUAGGUGGGACCGAGAAAACAAUUCUAGCGAGGCUUGGUUGUACCAACCCGAACUAGAUACAAUAGAGGAAAAAUGAAGAAAAUGAUGGUCUACCAAAUAUGGCGCAUGAGCCUUAAGGUGGACCUAGAGGGAAGUAGAAGAAAUAAAUAUAUAACCGAAUAUGUUUUUCGCAAUGCGAGGUAAAGUGUUGAUGUGCUCUAACUGGGCUUAGAUUGCAGCGACAUGUUAUCCAUUGUAAGACCUCAAGAAUCCUAAUGUUAGAAUCUAGUAAAACUUCCUAAAGAAUUUGAAUUUGAAAUACCUUCUAGUAAUAAAUUUUCUUGCAUUAAAUUUACUUCUCCCAAAAUGAAUGUGUUGUCUAGUAAAAGAUAAAAUAAGAGGAACCUAAAUUAAUUAAGUCCUUCUUUACCAAUAUAUAUAUUUAAUUUAAAUUCUUCUAUAACAUAGGGAAUUCACUAGGAAGAACCUACCCUUGAAAAUACUAUUUUCUUUGUAUGUAUGAAUGGCAUAAAAAACACACACAUGCUUAUAUAGGAACAAUAAAUAUAUAAAUAAAUAAAAUAAUAAAAUAUUAUUGCACUACAUUCUGGUGUUUUGGCUUAGCAUUUGUCUCAAAUUAUAAACUUAGAUUUGAAUUCAACUUGGAUUUAAAACAAAAAGGAGGAAAGCAGGAAAUCGAAAAGAAAUAAGAAAAACAAAAUUUGCGCUGGGCCAAAUCCUGACCAUGGCUCGGCCCACCCAAGUCGCAUGGCCCGUUACCCCCCUCCGCCUUCUCCUUGUCUGCGGAAAUACAUUGAGUUGCUGAUAGCGGGGGCCCCCUGCUCAACCUCUCCUUCCUACCGCACUGGCCCACUUCUCCAAUGCAAAACACUGUCAAGUGGGUCCUGGUGUCCAGCGCCUACCUCCGCAUAUGGACAUAUGUGCCGCUGGCAUGGGGCCUAGGAUGUCAGCUUCAUCUUCCUAACAACCUAGGCCGCAGAUCGAGCGCGACCGCGCCCAAGUAGAUUCCUAUGCCCAACCUCGGAUCUUCCCCAUGGGCGUCCUCGCGAGGCUAUAUAUCUAUCCGCCGCGGCAUCCCCUUCACCCAUCCUUUGGUGCCAGCACCUGUACCCCAUGCCCCGUCGCUGGCGCAGGGAGCUUUGGAAUCCGCUGCAAGUCGUACUCACCUCCCCGUCGAAUCAACCUUGAUUCUUAGCCACGAGUGAAAGUCGAGGAACUCUGGGAUCUCGUGCACCGACCGGCCGAACCUGAAAUCAUUUUGUGCGCAAGGAAUUGCUCGUCGAAGCUCUGUCUCUGCCGCCAAGUCGCUUCUCACCGGGGACACCACUGCUAACGCCCAAAUUUGUGGUAAGAAACCAUCUCUGUUCCUCGUCGUCAUCCUCUUUAUGUGUAGAAUCCCUCGGUAUUCGAUAUGUGGUCCCCAGGCGGCCGACCCAUUGCUCGCCAGCGAGUGCGCCACCGCGGUGGUGCCCGGCGCCGCUGUACUCGGGUUCGAGGGAGAAGGGGUUUGUCGUGGACCGUUGAUCCCUAUAGGAGCGGUCGGGAUUAGAUUUUGGAUACCGCUUUAGGCGAUAGGAUCUGUGUCGUUAAUCUAAAGAGGGACACCUCAGAUUAGUUGUGGCGCGUACCCCUUUAGUGGUUAAAUCGGGACCCUCGAUCUUAUGGCGAGUGGUUCGGAUUAGCUUAUGGCGUGGUCACCGAUCGGACCGCGGAUCCUGAAUCCAAGGGCCCAAAAUAGAUAAUGGUUUGGUUGAAGGGUGCGUCUAAUCUGGGCCGCCAGUGUUCGAUCGGACGAUGGAAAUAUCGUGAUACAGAUCGACCCGUCUGUUUUGCAAAAGACCCCUCUGGGAUUUCAGAAAAUAACCCGUCGUCCGGGGCUGUGGAAGAGUCUUGCGGAUUAGUCCUGAACUUUACAAAUCAAACCCCGAGCUUCCUAGAAAUAGUAAUAGCAGUCCAGGAAACAUUAAAAUACCCAAGAUAAAUCUAGAAAAUAGUUUUCAAUGUAAGAAUAAGUAUAAAAUCUUAGGAAAAUCAUAACUUUAUGAAUAUGUCUCCAAAUUGACGCGUUCCAGUUGCAUUAGAUCCAUAAUAAUAUUGUUUAUCCCUUGGUAACUUUAUUUUGUUAUGAAACCUAAAUUGAAACUAUGUACUUAAUUUCUUUUGUACCUGACUCCUAAAUCUUUAGAAAAUCAUAACUUUAUAACCGUAACUCCGAAUUUAGUGGUUCUCGAGCCCACGAUCUCGUAGAAACAUGUAAAUUAUUAUUAUGCAGUUUGUUCUGAUGUUUGGUAUGAUGUUAAUUUUGCAUAUACCCUUUUUGUUGAAUUGCUACGAAUAACAGUGAGGUCACGAGAAUUUGAAGAUCAUCCUGGUACCUGGAAUCUCGAGUCCUAAGCAAAUUGUGCCCUUGAUCACUCUUUUUUACCUAAUAAUGUUCGCGUUAAUCACUGUGACAUGGUCAGGUUAAUUUGAUGGGACCUAAUAGGUUUACCUAACAUUAUUUAUCCCCACCUUGCAAACAGAUGAAUUAUUGGGUAGAGUAGCUAUUGCUCUACCUGGUUUUGGGAAACUAAUGUUUUAUUAUGAUCAUGUUCCAAUUUUGUUGUUAUUUAAUUAUUGUUCAUGAUAAGAUCAUAUUGUUAAUUGGAACAUGGAGCGACCACCCGGGAAAACAGUGCUACCACAAUGGUGGUAUGGGACGUGCUUGGCGGACUAAUUAGGAAGGUAUUGGAGGACUACCUUACCCGAAAGGGGCAAGGGCAGUAGGGGAGUGGUCGGUAUAGUGAGGUUAUCGGGCUGAUUUUGUUGCGAUGGAUUUUCAGACGGGGAUUCCUAUGCUUCGCUCGCUAGAAACUAUAGCAGGGUUUCUGAAGCUAGUGGAACUUUGUAAAGGCCUUGUAGUGGUACCCUGCCUUGCUUCCUUGGUAGAGGUGUAUGGGGUAUGAUCAACCCUGUGUCAAAUGGAUAACACGACUUCUGGGUAAAGAUGUGUAACCUCUACAGAGUGUAAAACUAGUAUAUCAGUCGUGCUCACGAUCAUGAGCAGCUCGGACCCUCACAUGAUUAACUUAUGGAAUUAAACUCAAUUUGUCAUUUGCAUUGCAUUGUGGGUGUUGUUAUUAAUCUUGAUCUCUUAUUUAAUUGGGUUGGUAUCUACUUACACUUAGUAGCUGCUAAUAAAAUUUUGACCGACUUUAAAAGCAAUGCCCAGCUUUAACCAUCCUCUUUGGUAAGCCUUACACUUCACAUGGGCUCCCACAUUUGGUUAGUUCAUGCACAUUAUUCCCCACAACUUGUUGAGCGAUAAACGUAUGUGAGCUCACCCUUGCUGUACUCACAUCCCCUAGGUCAAGAACAGGUACCACAGGAUGAGGCGCAUGGAGGAUGAUGUGAUGAGAUCGUGAGAGGUCUAGGCCGUCGUCUCCCAGUCAACUUUGGUUGCUGGAUCGUUGUUGACUGGAUCGUUGUCUUCAUAUGAUGUAAUUAUUUAACUAUUUUGUUUAGAACUUCUAUUAUAUAGUAAAGAUGUGACAUUCAUUUCUGUACCAUGAGUCAUCAUAUGUGUGAGACUUGGUCCUAGCACACUUGGUGAUUAUUUCAUGCCCGAGUUUUGGACCCCUAGAAUCCGGGUGUGACAUCCAUCCACAAGGCUUGGUUGCACACGGAAAAAGAUAGAGAGAGAAAUGUAGACGCAGGACUAGGAGAAAAAACAUUCAAUGAGGCGUGAUUGCACAAACAUAGAACUAGUUAAAGAAAAAUAAAGGGACUAAAUUUUCUUUUGCACACUUAGCAUGAAUGGAGUUGUAGUAUCUGAGAUCCCAAUUUUAAUUUUAUCCAAGAUGUAGAACAAAGUUGCGAGACUCAUCAUGGUUAUGUAGGGACAAAAGUAGAUAAGAAAAAUAGCAAAAAGAUAGUGGUCUACCAGAGAGGGUAUGUGUGCCCUAAUUGGCCUAGAGCUUAGUGGUUCAUUAUCCGUCCACCGCUGCUAGUUGACAAAGUUUGUUGUCGAGCUAGGUGGGCUAUGGUUGAAGCACAUUAGGAUAGAGUAGACCUAUUCUGUUUUUUUUGUUGUUUUUGGGACAUUAUAAACUUGAUGUUGUGAAUUUUUUUUCAUGUGUUUCCUCUUGCCUACGAAGUGGAAGGUGGGAGCGUUAGAGAAGAAAGAAAGAGUGGCCAGCAUUGAUUUUACAUCAUCCCCUUGAGAACACUAAUCAAAAGCAGAAGCAACAAUAUUUCAUACAUAUACAACACUUGUAAUCCAUAUAAACAACUUUCCUUCAAAAAAUAAUAUAAAGCACAUGAUUUAUAUCCUGUGUCGGUCAACUCCACAAAGGGCAAGAAAACACUCUUAGGUUUGUAGUAUAGAACUAAGAGUGUCUACUCUCACGAUUUCUUCCCAACAUUUGCAAACUACACAUUAAUCACAUAAAAUAAAGACAUAUGUGGUAACACGAACUUAUAUGAUGUACUUCAACCUAUAGAUUUUUUUAUUAUUAUGGCAGAUUAUAUAAUACAUGGGUGCCCGAGGAAAUACGUAAAAAGCAAGAGCAUUAGAUUUUCCUUUUCAGAUUUGGCUAACUGGAAAAAGGAGUUGGAGUAUCUGAGUUUCUAAAUUUGGCACGUAGAUGUAAAGAAGGAAUAUAAAUACGUUGGGAAAACAUUCUACAAGGCAAGGUUUAACACAAGUAGGGCUAAGAAAAAAUCAAUGAGGCUUUGGUCGCAUGGUCACAAAACUUGAGACAAGAAACAUGAAGAAACCAAGGUAAUUAGUAUGAGAGUUUUCCAAAUUUGGUGUAUUGAUGUAGAAAAAAUAAAUAUAUGACAAACAUGUUUUUCUACAAGGCAUUGUAAAAUAAGUGGGAGUGAGUAAUAAAUUUCAUCAUAGAUUUAGAAGGAAGAAAUAUAUCACUAAAUACGUUCUUUCAUAAUGCCAAGUUAAGCAGGUGGGGCCGAGAAAACAAUUCUUGCGAGGCUUGGUUGUACUAGCCCCAAACUAGAUACAACAGAGGAAAAAUGAAAAAAUGUUGGUCUACCAAAUAUGGCGCAUGAACCUUAAGGUGGACCUAGAGGAAAGUAGAAGAAAUAAAUAUAUAACUGAAUAUGUUUUUCGCAAUGCAAGGUAAAGUGUAGAUGCACUCUAACUAGGCUUAAAUUGCAGCGACACGUUAUCCAUCCACAAGGCUUGGUUGCAGAUAGAAAAAAGGUAAAGAGAAAAAUGUAGACGCGGGAUCGGUUGAAAAACAUUCAAUGAGGCGUGAUUGCACGGAAAUAGAACUAGAUAGAAGAAAAGAGUUAAAGAAAAUUGGAGAAAAACAUACUAAGCAUGAAUGGAGUUGUAGUAUCUGAGAAUAAAGGGACUAAAUUUUCUUUUGCACACUUACCAUGAAUGGAGCUGUAGUAUCUGAGAUCUGAAUUUUAAUUUAUUCCAAGAUGCAGAACAAAGUUGCGAGACUCGUAAUGGUUACAUAGGAACAAAAGUAGAUAAGAAAAAUAGCAAAAAGAUAGUGGUCUACCAGAGAGGGCACAUGUGCCCUAAUUGGCCUACAACAUAGCGGCUCAUUAUCCUUCCACCGUUGGUGGCGGGUGGUAUUCGCUGCUCUAUGAAGUCAGCCUCAUGCAAUGUCCGCCACUUUAGGUGUUGGGAUGCAAACGCUUUUGCCAAGGCACACGAAACCCACGACAGAACUUGGAAUAGGUGGUCCACAUUUUGUAGCACUAGACCCAGGCUCAUGCACCACAAUUGACAUCCACACUACUUUAUUGCCCCCUCUCAGGUUACAAGCAAUCGCUACU
rnacentral:lncRNA from 1 species